CAGCCGCCGCGGUAAUACGUAGGGGGCGAGCGUUACCCGGAAUCACUGGGCGUAAAGGGUGCGUAGGCGGCCGCGUGUGUCUGGCGUAAAAUACCACGGCUCAACCGUGGGAAUGCGCUGGAAACUACGUGGCUUGGGUGCGGCAGAGGCAGACGGAACUGCUGGUGUAGGGGUGAAAUCCGUAGAUAUCAGCAGGAACGCCGGUGGAGAAGUCGGUCUGCUGGGCCGUAACCGACGCUGAGGCACGAAAGCUAGGGGAGCGAACCGGAUUAGAUACCCGGGUAGUCCUAGCCGUAAACGAUGCUCACUAGGUGUGGGGGCGGAAGCCUCCGUGCUGAAGCUAACGCGAUAAGUGAGCCGCCUGGGGAGUACGCCCGCAAGGGUGAAACUUAAAGGAAUUGGCGGG
rnacentral:rRNA from 1 species